CAAAUGGUCGGCAAAGGAAAUCAGCACGACGGCGAUGGAAAUUGGCACAACUACAGUGGAGUUCGGCACAACGGCUGUGGAGUUCGACAGGACGGCGGUGGAGUUCGGCACAUCGACGGUGGAAUUCAGCACAUCGGUGCUAUUGAUGUGAAGAAAGACGAAUCAAAGCCGCCGGAUUCUCUACACAAGCUCAUCGUCAGCAGUCCGUCUAGUAUAAGAAAAUUCAUCAUCUCCGAUUGCCUCAUAUUCGAUCGGAUCGAAUUCGAACUGCGAUGUCGUUUGUUGGUGCAGAAUUGUAGAUAGCAACCAUACUAGCUGUUGUGGAGCUUGAUUUUUGAUCUCCUAUUUGAAGAUCUUCUUCCAAAAAGAUCGUUGAUGCUCGGACCAUGUCAAUACCAAGUUCAGCUAUGGAAUAAUACAGUUCACUGUUUACUCCAAUGCAACGGGCCCCAAGUUAAGUGUAGUCGAAUACUUGGUUUGUUAAUUGACAGUUCCUAACUUCGAUUAAUUCAUUCAUACACCUUUGUUCUCUGCAUUUUGCUUCACAGAAGGACUGAGUAUCACUUUGCUUGUAUUCUUAUACACUUCUGUACCUAUUGAUGUUACUUUGUGUUGAGGAAUUAACAACUUGUACAGUUGUGCCUUAGCUUAAUUCUGUUACAAGUUAGUUAGGCUAGAGUUAGUGAUAGUUAGCUGUUUAGAGUCGGUUAAUUAAUUCAUUAGAUAGUUAGCUUAACAAUUUGAUCUAUAAAUAAGAUUAUCAGUCAAGUUCUGUAAAUCAAUUUUAUUAAUUCUAUACAAUUGGAGUUUCUCUUUUCUGUGCACGUACUGUUUUGAUUGCUUCUGCACAUCACUAAGUAGAAGAUUCUUCAUUUCUAUGGAAGUUAACACUUGGGUGUUAAACUUAGAAGACCAAAAUACUGAGCAUGAAUGACCUAUGUGUAUCUCAUAUUUUUAUGGCUUGUACUUGCUUGCAUUCCUAGUUCACUCUCAUUGUGUAUCAAUUGUUAAUGUAAUACCGUUUUGUGUGAGUUCAUCAUAAAUCAAUUUAACUUUGCGUUGGUUGUCAACCAUUGCAUCCCUCUUUCUUUAUCCAGGCAAUUUUGUGUUAUUCUUAGUGUAAAUGUUUUGUUUCUUUAUCAAUCAAAUGGGAUCUUAAUAGAAGUUAAGUAUGUUAAACGAGUGAUUUUAUUUAUUGCAAGCAUUGGAUUAUAGAGGUUCCUAGUGUAGGAAUAAUGUAAUUGUAUUGUUUCACUAGGUUAAGUGCUUUUAAGUGAUUAAGAUGGGAAGGGGUGUAAAUGCUAAUGUCUUGAUGGAGUAUGUUAAAUUUCAGAUUUUUCCGAGCCAGGGUAAGUGAAACUAACUAAAACUACCUGUUGUGUUUAUAUAUAGUUGUGUUUGUGUGUAUUGAUUGAAAUCUAACCUUUUACUACUUGUGUUCCAGUUCAAGAUGUGGAUGACAAGUUUUCGUAUCCAGGCAAUGUGAUGACAAGAUCCUUCUUAAAUAAAU